UACGUAGGGUGCAAGCGUUAAUCGGAAUUACUGGGCGUAAAGCGCGCGUAGGCGGCUUUGCAAGUUAGAGGUGAAAGCCCGGAGCUCAACUCCGGAACUGCCUUUAAAACUGCAUAGCUUGAAUCCGGGAGAGGUGAGUGGAAUUCCGAGUGUAGAGGUGAAAUUCGUAGAUAUUCGGAAGAACACCAGUGGCGAAGGCGGCUCACUGGACCGGUAUUGACGCUGAGGUGCGAAAGCGUGGGGAGCAAACAGG
rnacentral:rRNA from 1 species